rnacentral:rRNA from 1 species
UACAGAGGGUGCGAGCGUUAAUCGGAAUUACUGGGCGUAAAGGGCGCGUAGGCGGCCACCGCAAGUCGACUGUGAAAUCUCCGGGCUUAACCCGGAAAGGUCAGCCGAUACUGCGGGGCUAGAGUGCAGAAGGGGCAACUGGAAUUCUCGGUGUAGCGGUGAAAUGCGUAGAUAUCGAGAGGAACACCUGCGGCGAAGGCGGGUUGCUGGGCUGACACUGACGCUGAUGCGCGAAAGCUAGGGGAGCGAACGGG